rfam:Euryarchaeota archaeon TMED141 20930, whole genome shotgun sequence.
ACAUGUGAUGCUACAACCCAACUGGAGGAUCGCUUGGCUCGAGUGCCGAAGAAGGUCGUGACAAGCUGCGACAAGCCGCGGGGAGAUGCAUGAAUAUCGUGGAUCCGCGGAUGGCUGAAUGGGACUUCCUGAUACUUCGGUAUCAAUCGCGAUGCGAUAGGGAACCCCCCGAAUUGAAGCAUCUUAGUAGGGGGAGGAAUAGAAAUCAAAGAGAUUCCGUGAGUAGUGGCGAAUGAAAACGGAUCAGGACAAGCCGAAUCCCAACUCGAAAGUGAGGGAGAUGUGGGUGUCGUUUUUUUGCCUACGUGAGUGAAGGUGAGGUCGCCUGGAAUGGCGCGCCAAAGAGGGUGAAAGCCCCGUAACCGUACCUCAUAUGGCCACGUAAGCGACAAAGAGUAGCGUGCGUUGGAAAUCGCGCGUGAACAUGGGAGGCAGGAACUUCCAAUCCUAAAUACAGCUCGAGACCGAUAGUUUACAAGUAACGUGAGUGAAAGCUGAAAAGAAUCCUUGGCGGGAUGUGAAAAGACCGUGAAACCAGUUGGGUACAGGCUGAUUGGGCGUGAAAGCGAUGAUAUGAGCAGCGUCCAGUCGUGCGUUUCGAAAAAUGCCCCAGGGAGUCUUGUUCAUUGGCGAGGUUAAGGAGUAGAUCUCCGUAGCCGUAGGGAAACCGAAAUGUCCGCAACCGUAAGGUGAGGGACGAGGUGUGCUCGCCUGGAGUCAAUGGAGGAGGACCUGAAGCCCACCGAUCUAUGCCUGGCCAGAUUGAAGCCCGAUGAAAGUUGGGUGGAGGAUCGAACCGUUGCUGAUCUGCAAAUCGCUCGGACGAGCUGGGUAUAGGGGUGAAAGUCCAAUCGAGGUGGGCAAU